rnacentral:tRNA from 1 species
CUCUCGAUAGCUCAGUUGGCAGAGCGGCAGACUGUAGAAGGACUCACUAUGCAUUAAUCUGUAGGUCACUGGUUCGAUUCCAGUUCGAGAGA